rnacentral:rRNA from 1 species
AUUGAACGCUAGCGGGAUGCUUUACACAUGCAAGUCGAACGGCAGCGCGGACUUCGGUCUGGCGGCGAGUGGCGAACGGGUGAGUAAUGUAUCGGAACGUGCCCAGUAGCGGGGGAUAACUACGCGAAAGCGUAGCUAAUACCGCAUACGCCCUACGGGGGAAAGCAGGGGAUCGUAAGACCUUGCACUAUUGGAGCGGCCGCUAUCGGAUUAGCUAGUUGGUGAGGUAACGGCUCACCAAGGCGACGAUCCGUAGCUGGUUUGAGAGGACGACCAGCCACACUGGGACUGGGACACGGCCCAGACUCCUACGGGUAGCAGCAGUGGGGAAUUUUGGACAAUGGGGGCAACCCUGAUCCAGCCAUCCCGCUUGUGCGAUGAAGGCCUUCGGGUUGUAAAGCACUUUUGGCAGGAAAGAAGCGUCGCGGGCUAAUACCCCGUGGAACUGACGGUACCUGCAGAAUAAGCACCGGCUAACUACGUG